rnacentral:rRNA from 1 species
GACGAACGCUGGCGGCGUGCUUAACACAUGCAAGUCGAACGGAAAGGCCCUGCUUUUGUGGGGUGCUCGAGUGGCGAACGGGUGAGUAACACGUGAGUAACCUGCCCUUGACUUUGGGAUAACUUCAGGAAACUGGGGCUAAUACCGGAUAGGAGCUCCUGCUGCAUGGUGGGGGUUGGAAAGUUUCGGCGGUUGGGGAUGGACUCGCGGCUUAUCAGCUUGUUGGUGGGGUAGUGGCUUACCAAGGCUUUGACGGGUAGCCGGCCUGAGAGGGUGACCGGCCACAUUGGGACUGAGAUACGGCCCAGACUCCUACGGGAGGCAGCAGUGGGGAAUAUUGCACAAUGGGCGGAAGCCUGAUGCAGCAACGCCGCGUGCGGGAUGACGGCCUUCGGGUUGUAAACCGCUUUCGCCUGUGACGAAGCGUGAGUGACGGUAAUGGGUAAAGAAGCACCGGCUAACUACGUGCCAGCAUCCGCGGUGAUACGUAGGGUGCGAGCGUUGUCCGGAUUUAUUGGGCGUAAAGGGCUCGUAGGUGGUUGAUCGCGUCGGAAGUGUAAUCUUGGGGCUUAACCCUGAGCGUGCUUUCGAUACGGGUUGACUUGAGGAAGGUAGGGGAGAAUGGAAUUCCUGGUGGAGCGGUGGAAUGCGCAGAUAUCAGGAGGAACACCAGUGGCGAAGGCGGUUCUCUGGGCCUUUCCUGACGCUGAGGAGCGAAAGCGUGGGGAGCGAACAGGCUUAGAUACCCUGGUAGUCCACGCUGUAAACGGUGGGUACUAGGUGUGGGGUCCAUUCCACGGGUUCCGUGCCGUAGCUAACGCUUUAAGUACCCCGCCUGGGGAGUACGGCCGCAAGGCUAAAACUCAAAGGAAUUGACGGGGCCCCGCACAAGCGGCGGAGCAUGCGGAUUAAUUCGAUGCAACGCGUAGAACCUUACCUGGGUUUGACAUGGAUCGGGAGUGCUCAGAGAUGGGUGUGCCUCUUUUGGGGUCGGUUCACAGGUGGUGCAUGGCUGUCGUCAGCUCGUGUCGUGAGAUGUUGGGUUAAGUCCCGCAACGAGCGCAACCCUUGUUCACUGUUGCCAGCACGUUAUGGUGGGGACUCAGUGGAGACCGCCGGGGUCAACUCGGAGGAAGGUGGGGAUGACGUCAAGUCAUCAUGCCCCUUAUGUCCAGGGCUUCACGCAUGCUACAAUGGCUGGUACAGAGAGUGGCGAGCCUGUGAGGGUGAGCGAAUCUCGGAAAGUCGGUCUCAGUUCGGAUUGGGGUCUGCAACUCGACCUCAUGAAGUCGGAGUCGCUAGUAAUCGCAGAUCAGCAACGCUGCGGUGAAUAAGUUCCCGGG